CCUACUGGAGGCAGCAGUGAGGAAUAUUGGUCAAUGGACGAGAGUCUGAACCAGCCAAGUCGCGUGAAGGAUGACUGCCCUAUGGGUUGUAAACUUCUUUUAUCUGGGAAUAAAGUGACCCACGUGUGGGUUUUUGUAUGUACCUUAUGAAUAAGCAUCGGCUAACUCCGUGCCAGCAGCCGCGGUAAUACGGAGGAUGCGAGCAUUAUCCGGAUUUAUUGGGUUUAAAGGGAGCGUAGGCGGGUUGUCAAGUCAGGGGUGAAAGUUUGCGGCUCAACUGUAACAUUGCAGUUGAAACUGGUAGUCUUGAGUGCGGGAGAGGUAGGCGGAAUGCGUGGUGUAGCGGUGAAAUGCGUAGAUAUCACGAAGAACUCCGAUUGCGAAGGCAGCUCACUGGACUGCAACUGACGCUGAGGCUCGAAAGUGUGGGUAUCAAACAGGAUUAGAUACCCCAGUAGUC
rnacentral:rRNA from 1 species